GCCCCAAGCUGAGUCCAUGUAAUUACUCACGGCAGCCAUUGAGCUCCCCUUCUGCCACUGCACCACUCUGGACUGGAGUCGGCCUGGGAACCAUCCUCCCACCCCAGAAGAGAGACCAGACCUUCUGAACCCUCCUCCGGAGCUUAGCUCAAUUGCCACCAGACAUAUAGGCAAUGGAGAACCGUUAUCCAGACUGUGCUUCUGCCUUGGGUCUGCGAGCCCUAGGGGCCCAGCCGGAAACAAAAUUCCCCAAGACCUAGUGUACAGAGCUGCAAAGGCAGUGGGUCCACAAGAGUUUGCAAUUAUGGUGGAAACAAUAGAUCUGUAUCCAUAGAAUGGGACCAACACAGUGCCGCCACUAGAAGUGCACCAGAGAUCUACCAGUCGGUUGGCCUGGCUCCCCUGCAGUGGUGAAAUGCACCAGAAAUAUACCAUCCUGUGGCAAAAUAUACAAAGCCCCAAGGUGCUGGCUCCCUACCUUACUGCCCCCAUGCACCGUUGGGCGCCCAGUGACACGUGCUUCAGCCCCAGCUUCUAGCCAAGUGACAAACAGUGCGCGCUGCAAUCACCAGACUGAGCUCAAGCUCUCUUUAUAACACAUUUAUACCCUCGGAUUAAUUCUGAGGCUCCGUGUAGGAGUGGAUCCCCAGGGGGCAAGCGGAGCACUUCUUCCAGAUGAUUUGACCCUGGCCCCAAAUGCCCUUCCAGAGCCUAUCUAUAUCUCUGAGGCUCCCUGUGAGAAACCUAUGAUUGGUCCCCAGGGUCUGUGGCAGACCUCUCCCCGCCCCUCCCGGGACCUCAGGAAAACCCGGCAGGCUCCUCUGCAAGCAGGAUCACUCAGGCCAGACAGUCGAGCGUGCUCCGGAGGGGCCACCGGAGGACUCACAAGCAUGGUCGGUUGUUGGCAACUAAACUCCAUCACUAAGCUUCAGUUAAGAUUACUGAAAGCAACUUACAAAACAGAGCUGGUGGGGGAAACCGCGCUGCUUUGUUAUCGCUCCAAAGAAGCUGAAAGGGACAAGCCGCUUGCUCCUGGACGAUUAUUUUAAUUAAAAUACGAUGAUGAUAAUGAUGUAGAUGAUGACAUUAGCAACUACAAUAACUGGCAAAACAAAAUCCUUUCUUCUGGAGCUAGGGCGGCACUGACGGUCUCUCCAUGAAGCCCGGCCCCAGCCACCAAUGCGACGGGUACCCGACCCACGCGGGAAUGUCGCUCACCCGGGGAAGGGGUGGAAAACUGUUUCUUGGAGAUGAUCCCGAGGGUCCCCACCCGAGGCGCGAGGCCUGGAGAAUGCGCCCAUUGUCUUUUCCGGGCCUCGCCCACAGACCCCAAGGCCGCACCGCGAAACUGACCAGAAAUGGACGAAGCCUGAGUGCGUCGGGAACGAAGCCGGUGGCUACCGGCUUGAAGGCGCGGGCCUCGGCGGGCGCUGCUCAGCUUCAAGCCUGAAGAACCUCCCACUCACUGACAAACCCCUCAAACACCGAGGCACAGACUGGCCUCCGGACAGAGCGGCCGCCGACCGGGCUCCGUCUGCCCCUCCAAGCCGACACUGGCUUCCGAAUAUAUCAUAAUAUGGAAUAAAACGUGAAAUCCUUCUCCCCGCC
ensembl:lncRNA